UUGCCUCGUCCUUGGUCCUGUGCGGGCCUCGGAUGAGCUGCUACAGAAGAAGUUAGCCGAGGCGUAAUGCGUGUUGUUUUAUCUCCGGCUUUCUGGCAGGGGUGCAAACAAAUCUGGUAACAUUAGUGCCAAUACUCAACACAUACAGCUUUAGGGAAAACUGCAACCAUAACAGCUUGGCACUGCCUUGGAAGCCGGAAUCUUUGGAAAAGAACCGUGAAGAAGAAGUUGGAAGUUGGUGGUACCCCAUUUAUGUUUGCGUAGUUUCAUCGGGGCCUAUCAAUCAAUCACAGGCAGAUAAUAAUGGAAUGAGCGAAAAACGCCACGGAAAGCUUCUUCCUCCGCUGGGGUCUCGUGUCACCGGCGUUUAGCGGCCAGGUUCCUGACGAUCGGCUCUUUUUAUUCAGUCGCAGCACAGGCCCGUCACAGCAACAACAGCCUCAAUAUCAGCAGCUGACGAUGCCGCAUGAGGUAAGAGAUCGACUACAAUGCGCGUACGAAAUAAGUUCUGAAUAGACUCUUAAUAAUUGACGGCCGAAGACGCCACUUUGGCCGCUACGACAGCUGACAAAGAAAUAUAGAGAGAAAAAAAAGUGAGCGAGUGAAGGAAAAAGCAGACGACAACUAGUCGACUAACGUAACGUUAACGCGGCCGACCUGACGCUGGCACCAUCAGUACGCAUAUUGUCUGUCGCUGGCAUCUGGUGUCUUCAUGCGAUGCGAUUUGCGUCGACCAACCUGAAACGAAGGAUGGACAGCUGAAAAACAGGCACGUGAAUCUUAUAGGAUUCGGGUCGAAGCGUACCUACGAUCCGAUAGGAUGUGAUAUAUAAUGAUAGUACAGUCGAUGCUGCCGGUGUCGAAGGAAAAGUGACGAAAAUUCGAGGCGCCCGUUUUCGUAUCGAUCCGUAAUAGAUAUGUAUUUUAGCCUGCCUGAAACUAGCUCAUCGAAUUCUUCUCGGAGGGGAUGAAGGCAACAACGGCGUUGGCAGCGAUUGUCCUUCAGGUUCAUCCGCCAAUUAGCAUAGGAAGUAGCGGCAGUAGUCUGCGAAGAAACAGAUUGGUCGAACGACGCAGUAAUAACAGAUCGCAAGAUUCAUCGAGGGGACCAGAUAAACCGGGUGGAACCCUGCUAACGAACCAGUAAUGGAUUAAAGCUUCUCAAGUGCAUCAAGCAGAUGCGACUGCGAGCGAUGCGUGACACAAAAAAUAUGUGAGCGUGUGUAUAUGAGCCACUAUGCUGCAAUGCAGGAGACUGCAACACGUAGGUAGAAAUGCUUGAAACUGCCUACCACCGAAUGAAUAGAUACGUACCAAGAGAUUUUAGUAUGUCAAGAUACACAAAAGAAAGAAAAUAACUCGAAUGCCGUGGUGUUGCCUGCCGUCGUUAACGUUGUCGAUACCAGCGUACCCUCACAAUUGUCUCGUGGUAUAGCGUAACAUCCACCCCACGACAAACAACGUAUGCCUUGUCUGACCUAACCUAGUUAACGCGGUUUACUAAUCGCGUUCUUAAGUAGUUUCAUUUUUGUACGGAUUUCUCGAGCAAACAAAUAAUGAAGUUUGAGUAACAGCUUUGUCUCGUAAGCACAUAUGCCAAUUUAGAAUGGUGCAGACCACUGGUGUUGCUUGCUUUUCUUUCUU